rnacentral:rRNA from 1 species
CAGCACCUCAAGUGGUCAGGAUGAUUAUUGGGCCUAAAGCAUCCGUAGCCGGCGCUGUAAGUUUUCGGUUAAAUCUGUACGCUCAACGUACAGGCUGCCGGGAAUACUGCAGCGCUAGGGAGUGGGAGAGGUAGACGGUACCCGGUAGGAAGGGGUAAAAUCCUUUGAUCUAUUGAUGACCACCUGUGGCGAAGGCGGUCUACCAGAACACGUCCGACGGUGAGGGAUGAAAGCUGGGGGAGCAAACCGGAUUAGAUACCCGAGUAGUCC